rnacentral:rRNA from 1 species
CCUACGGGAGGCAGCAGUGGGGGAUAUUGCACAAUGGGGGGAACCCUGAUGCAGCGACGCCGCGUGGGUGAAGAAGCGCCUCGGCGCGUAAAGCCCUGUCAGCAGGGAAGAAAAUGACGGUACCUGAAGAAGAAGCCCCGGCUAACUACGUGCCAGCAGCCGCGGUAAUACGUAGGGGGCAAGCGUUAUCCGGAUUUACUGGGUGUAAAGGGGGCGCAGACGGCGAUGCAAGCCAGGAGGGAAAGCCCGGGGGCCAACCCCGGGACUGCUCGUGGAACUGGGAGGCUGGAGUGCAGGAGGGGGAGGCGGAAUUCCUGGUGUAGCGGUGAAAUGCGUAGAUAUCAGGAGGAACACCGGUGGCGAAGGCGGCCUGCUGGGCUGCAACUGACGUUGAGGGCCGAAAGCGUGGGGAGCAAACAGGAUUAGAUACCCGAGUAGUC